rnacentral:rRNA from 1 species
CGUAGGGUGCGAGCGUUAAUCGGAAUUACUGGGCGUAAAGCGUGCGCAGGCGGUUUUGUAAGACAGGCGUGAAAUCCCCGGGCUCAACCUGGGAACUGCGCUUGUGACUGCAAGGCUAGAGUACGGCAGAGGGGGUGGAAUUCCACGUGUAGCAGUGAAAUGCGUAGAGAUGUGGAGGAACACCAAUGGCGAAGGCAGCCCCCUGGGUCGAUACUGACGCUCAUGCACGAAAGCGUGGGUAGCAAACAGGAUUAGAUACCCUGGUAGUCCACGCCCUAAACGAUGUCAACUAGGUGUUGGGUGGGUAAAACCAUUUAGUACCGGAGCUAACGCGUGAAGUUGAACGCCUGGGGAGUACGGCCGCAAGGUUA